ACCUUUACCCUUUAGAUUUUUACUGUAAAAUGUUACCCAGAAAAACCUAAAGGGUAAAGAUAAGAUGCGUAUCACUGAAAAUUUAUUUUUGAGCAAAUAAGGACCGUAUUAUUGCCUAAUGUCAGACAGAUUUGAGGUGAAGCUUCUGAAGGAAACUCCCAUCACCAGCCCAUUUCCAUGUCACUCUGUUGUAACAAGGAUUGCAGUGUCUUUCUUCUGUUCCUUGAUCCAGAGAGUGCCCAUCGCACCAUCUUUUUUCCCCAAUAACAGUUUUAUUGAAAUAUAAUUCACAUACCCUGAAGUUCACCCUUUUAAAGUGUAUGAUUCAAUGGUUUUUAGUGUAUUCACAGAAGUGGACAACCAUCACCACUAUCAAAUUUCGGAACAUUCUCAUCAUUCCAGAAAGAAGCCUGUACACGUUGGCAUACAUUCCCAACUUACCCCUUCCUCCAUCUCCUGGAAACCAGUGAUCUACAUUGUGUAUCUAGAGACUUGCCUAUUCUGGC
rnacentral:lncRNA from 1 species